UACGUGAGGGGCAAACGUUGUUCGGUGUCACUGGGCUUAAAGGGCGCGUAGGUGGCUGCGUAAGUAAGGUGUGAAAGCCCUCGGCUUACCCGGGGAAUUGCGCCUUAAACUGCGUGGCUUGAGGACCAGAGGGGUAGGAGGAACUCCAGGUGUAGCGGUGAAAUGCGUAGAUAUCUGGGGGAAGGCCGGCGGCGAAGGCGUCCUACUGGCUGGUUCCUGACACUGAGGCGCGAAAGCGUGGGGAGCAAACAGGAUUAGAUACCCCUGUAGU
rnacentral:rRNA from 1 species